CACAGACACACAGACACACACACACACACACACACCCCACACACAGUGAAAAAGGCGAACCACCAAAACCCAUCUCCAGCCUCCUCCCGGGGGCCCCCAGCCCGCCACUGUGCCACUUUGCAUCCCACGCCAGAGGAGACCUUAACGAGAUCGGGUAAGGCUGUUUAAUCAGUUCGUGGUGCGAAGAUACAUUUCAAGAGGACCUUUAGAAAUCUUGAACAAGCCUCCCCGCAUGUGGCAGGUGCUGUGCUGGCCACUGGUGACCCAAAGAUGAUGAAGAAUAUGUUCCUGCCCAAAAGGAGCUAGCGAUCCACUGGGGUAUGUAAAAUGCUUAUUUCAUUUUUUUAAUAGUAUGCUUGUUUUAUGCAAAACAGAGACAGUUCAAUAUAUAAGAAAUACUUGCACACAGAUUUUGUAAGCAUUGGAAUUUUUUUUUUUGAC